AUUGAACGCUGGCGGCAUGCCUUACACAUGCAAGUCGAACGGCAGCACGGGAGCAAUCCUGGUGGCGAGUGGCGAACGGGUGAGUAAUAUAUCGGAACGUGCCCAGUCGUGGGGGAUAACGUAGCGAAAGCUACGCUAAUACCGCAUACGAUCUAUGGAUGAAAGCGGGGGAUCGCAAGACCUCGCGCGAUUGGAGCGGCCGAUAUCAGAUUAGGUAGUUGGUGAGGUAAAGGCUCACCAAGCCAACGAUCUGUAGCUGGUCUGAGAGGACGACCAGCCACACUGGGACUGAGACACGGCCCAGACUCCAACGGGAGGCAGCAGUGGGGAAUUUUGGACAAUGGGCGCAAGCCUGAUCCAGCAAUGCCGCGUGCAGGAUGAAGGCC
rnacentral:rRNA from 1 species